rnacentral:lncRNA from 1 species
GUUCAACAAUUUUGCGUUAGAUUUGCUUCAUCUAAAGGUCACGAUUAUUUGCCAAAAAUACUUGUCAAAUCCAUGUGUAGUAGAAAUGCUUCCCAUAAAUUAACAAAAUCAGUGGUUUUAUGGAGGCUACUCCAGAUUCAUCCAGGUUUCCUUCUUAGCUGUUAAUUUCAAAUUUUGUACAAAUUAAUAUUUGGUUUGUGUUGGACUGUACCGUAUUGUAUUAAAUUAAUUAUGAUCAGGAAGUUGGGUUCAUAAAUCAAGAGGUAAAGCUUUCUUUCUUUGAUGUAAUUUUUUUUUUUUGGGAGCUUGAACAUUGAGAUGAGAUGUCAAUGAAUGGAGGUGUAAAAUGAAUCUUUGAGAAAAUUGCAGCUGACCUAACCUAUUUUAUCUGUUGUAU